UAGCACUUCAAAUUUCUUGCAUAACAAUGAGGAAAAUAUAAGUACUUUGAUGACUUUGAGGCGUUAAUUUAUUUGCAAUCGGGAGUUAAUUAUCAUACAGCGAGUUGUAUAAAACCGGUGACAGAAGUCAACAUUGAUUCAGAAGAACUUUGUCCAAGUAUUUCACUUUAGUCAGACAUUUUUACAAGUUAUGAACGCAGGGCUUGUAGCUGGUGUGCUUCUUAUUGUUGUUUAUUCACUUGUCGAAGGGCAGGUACCUGGCCCGUGCAAUGGCGAUCCCGACCUUGUCUGCAAUAUCACGAACCCCUGUAUGUACGCCGGGGAGGAAUGUGUAGACGGAUGCUGUACGGACGUAACCGCAACAACCCCCUCCACCACGUGUUCUGACCCGGAGUUCAGUUGCUAUGACUCCAACGGCACCUUCCAGUGCUAUGAGGGUGAGACUUGUGACGUUACCGGAUGUUGUGUUGACGUCACGACAGCAGCUCCAUAAAGGCCGCUAUACUUAGUCCCACGGGGAGCGCUGGUCGGCGCGUGGGGAUACCCACGAGUGACUUAAUUCAUCAGGGGUGGUGGAAGUGCUCUCUAGUUUGUGAACUUUUUUGUUGAAAUGUUGUCUCUGUUAUUUAUAUUUAUCAAUAAAACUAAAAAACUCUCA